AGGACGAACGCUGGCGGCGUGCUUAACACAUGCAAGUCGAGCGAGGCCCUUCCUUCGGGAAGGUGCCCUAGCGGCGAACGGGUGAGUAACACGUGGGCAACCUGCCCCUAGCACUGGGAUAAGCCCGGGAAACCGGGUCUAAUACCGGAUAUGACCUUCGAGGGCAUCCUUGAAGGUGUAAAGGAUUCUGGCUAGGGAUGGGCCCGCGGCCUAUCAGCUUGUUGGUGGGGUAAUGGCCUACCAAGGCGACGACGGGUAGCCGGCCUGAGAGGGCGACCGGCCACACUGGGACUGAGACACGGCCCAGACUCCUACGGGAGGCAGCAGUGGGGAAUCUUGCACAAUGGGCGAAAGCCUGAUGCAGCGACGCCGCGUGAGGGAUGACUGCCUUCGGGUUGUAAACCUCUUUCAGCAGGGACGAAGCGAAAGUGACGGUACCUGCAGAAGAGCACGGCCAACUACGCGCCAGCAGCCGCGGUAA
rnacentral:rRNA from 1 species